CUGGAACUGGGAAUUAGAGACUGCCCGGCCAGGGCAGAGGAGGAGAAGAAGCCACCAGAGUGUGGGGCAGAUCUGCAGGAAUUGAAUUUUUAUUAGCACGUGGAGGAUCCGUGGGCGACAGGCUAUGGGACUCAAGUAUAACAGCCCACAUUGGGCAGUGUGGCCCCCUUGGUGAGGAGAGGAAGGGGCUGAGGUCAGAGGCUAUGACUGUGUGGUCCUGCUCUGUAUUUGAUGAAGGCGCAAGGCUCCAGGAGACAGAAACUGUUCAUUUGAGUUGCUGCCAGAAGACAUUUACAUGUUUAGACGAGAAUGGCAAUUAAAUGGUGGCAUAAAUGUUGAUCAUUGGUUAUAAUGUGGUGACCUGGAGCAUUUUGGAUCUCCUUAAAAAUUUAAAACUUUGAUUCUUGAGUGUUUUCUAAUAACUUCCAAAUUUAUGUCAACUAAAUGGAGCCCAUUUAUGUUAAAUAAACA